CGGCCGCAGCAAUGACGCGAUGUGGCAAAGCCGGAAAUACCUUGCGCAGAGGGAGUCCAGUUUUAGCUUCCGCUGUCUGAGGAAGGAGCUCAACGGAAAGUUCUAGCGGCGUUCAAGACACCGUGCGUCUACUCCCAUAAGUCCUCCGCUCCGAGAGGCAUCUCGCAGGCUCUGGAUGUCAGCAUUCAUCGUUCGCCUGCUUCAGGGCCGAGCGUGAACUUCGUCUUGUUCCACCACGGCUGCGAUCCCCGUCCCGCGGGAGGGCGGGGGGUUACCUCCAAAGCAGUCGGACGGCGCCACGGCACAUCUCGGAUGAGCUAUUCUUCGCAUAUGCCAGUUGGACUCCUGUUUCCUGUUUGAGUCGCGGCCGUCUUGUGCAUACUGUGAAACGUGUGACAUCCUCAGAGCCACCGCUGAACUGUGCUUGCACAUAUAAAUAGGAGAGCAGUUCCAGUCAACAGCAUUAC
rnacentral:lncRNA from 1 species